AAAUUGAAGAGUUUGAUCAUGGCUCAGAUUGAACGCUGGCGGCAGGCCUAACACAUGCAAGUCGAGCGGAAACGAGUUAUCUGAACCUUCGGGGAACGAUARCGGCGUCGAGCGGCGGACGGGUGAGUAAUGCCUAGGAAAUUGCCCUGAUGUGGGGGAUAACCAUUGGAAACGAUGGCUAAUACCGCAUGAUGCCUACGGGCCAAAGAUGGUGAGGUAAGGGCUCACCAAGGCGACGAUCCCUAGCUGGUCUGAGAGGAUGAUCAGCCACACUGGAACUGAGACACGGUCCAGACUCCUACGGGAGGCAGCAGUGGGGAAUAUUGCACAAUGGGCGCAAGCCUGAUGCAGCCAUGCCGCGUGUGUGAAGAAGGCCUUCGGGUUGUAAAGCACUUUCAGUCGUGAGGAAGGUAGUGUAGUUAAUAGCUGCAUUAUUUGACGUUAGCGACAGAAGAAGCACCGGCUAACUCCGUGCCAGCAGCCGCGGUAAUACGGAGGGUGCGAGCGUUAAUCGGAAUUACUGGGCGUAAAGCGCAUGCAGGUGGUUUGUUAAGUCAGAUGUGAAAGCCCGGGGCUCAACCUCGGAAUUGCAUUUGAAACUGGCAGACUAGAGUACUGUAGAGGGGGGUAGAAUUUCAGGUGUAGCGGUGAAAUGCGUAGAGAUCUGAAGGAAUACCGGUGGCGAAGGCGGCCCCCUGGACAGAUACUGACACUCAGAUGCGAAAGCGUGGGGAGCAAACAGGAUUAGAUACCCUGGUAGUCCACGCCGUAAACGAUGUCUACUUGGAGGUUGUGGCCUUGAGCCGUGGCUUUCGGAGCUAACGCGUUAAGUAGACCGCCUGGGGAGUACGGUCGCAAGAUUAAAACUCAAAUGAAUUGACGGGGGCCCGCACAAGCGGUGGAGCAUGUGGUUUAAUUCGAUGCAACGCGAAGAACCUUACCUACUCUUGACAUCCAGAGAACUUUCCAGAGAUGGAUUGGUGCCUUCGGGAACUCUGAGACAGGUGCUGCAUGGCUGUCGUCAGCUCGUGUUGUGAAAUGUUGGGUUAAGUCCCGCAACGAGCGCAACCCUUAUCCUUGUUUGCCAGCGAGUAAUGUCGGGAACUCCAGGGAGACUGCCGGUGAUAAACCGGAGGAAGGUGGGGACGACGUCAAGUCAUCAUGGCCCUUACGAGUAGGGCUACACACGUGCUACAAUGGCGCAUACAGAGGGCRGCCAACUUGCGAAAGUGAGCGAAUCCCAAAAAGUGCGUCGUAGUCCGGAUUGGAGUCUGCAACUCGACUCCAUGAAGUCGGAAUCGCUAGUAAUCGUGGAUCAGAAUGCCACGGUGAAUACGUUCCCGGGCCUUGUACACACCGCCCGUCACACCAUGGGAGUGGGCUGCAAAAGAAGUAGGUAGUUUAACCUUCGGGGGG
rnacentral:rRNA from 1 species